rnacentral:tRNA from 1 species
GCCGGGGUGGCGAAAUUUGGUAGACGCGCAAGGCUCAGAACUUUGUGGUCGCAAGGCCAUGGGGGUUCAAAUCCCCCCUCCGGCACCA